AAGGGUGCGUAGGUGGUUGUGUUAGUCCUUUGUUAAAUUUCCCGGCUCAACCGGGAAGCCGCACGGGAAACGGCACGACUCAGAGGUUGGAAGGGGUUUGCGGAACUCAUGGUGUAGCGGUGAAAUGCGUUGAUAUCAUGGGGAACACCAAAAGCGAAGGCAGCAAACUGGUCCACACCUGACACUGAAGCACGAAAGCGUGGGUCGCGAAUGGGAUUAGAUACCCUGGU
rnacentral:rRNA from 1 species